GGAUGACGAGCGUGCCUUCGCGGUACGCUGGUCGUUUGAUAUUUCCGUCGCCGAUUACCCGCAGACGUCGCGACCUGUUCGCGGUCGGUCCCUGCUCGGAGGAGCCGCGUUCGAGUUCGUUGCGUGUCGCGUUUCGGCGUGUCACGCGGUGAAGACGCGGGUCUCUGGCUGGCCGUCGGACAGUACGUUUAACGGUGUCCGGUGUCGUCGUCUCGUACGCGCGUGCACCGGUACCGGUCAGCGACGAAUUCUUCGGGCCUCUUUCCGACCCGUCUUGAAACACGGACCAAGGAGUCUAACAUGCGCGCGAGUCGCGGGGUGUCGAGCGUACUUCGGUGCGUUCGUUACGUUGCGAAACCCGUACAUGUCGAAGGCGUAAUGAAAGUGAAUGGGGAAGAUGGUGUUC
rnacentral:rRNA from 1 species